GACGAACGCUGGCGGCGUGGAUUAGGCAUGCAAGUCGAACGGUAUCAUCCUUUCGGGGGUGAGAGAGUGGCGAACUGGUGAGUAACACGUAGGUUAUCUACCCUCAAGACGGGGACAACCCAGGGAAACUUGGGCUAAUACCGGAUGUGAGCAACUUUUAGUUGUUUGAAAGGUGGCGUAAGCUGUCGCUUGGGGAUGAGCCUGCGUCCUAUUAGUUAGUUGGUGAGGUAACGGCUCACCUAGGCAAUGAUAGGUAGGCGGCCUUAACGGGUGGUCGCCCACACUGGGAUUGAGAUACGGCCCAGACUCCUACGGGAGGCAGCAGUCGAGAAUAGUCUACAAUGGUCGGAAGACUGAUAGUGCGACGCCGCGUGAACGAUGAAUCCCUUCGGGGUGUAAAGUUCUUUUAUAUGUGAGCAGUGCUUCUUACUAUUAACAGUAUGGGGGAGAGAGAUAUUAGCAUAUGAAUAAGCAACGGCUAACUCCGUGCCAGCAGCCGCGGUAAACUACG
rnacentral:rRNA from 1 species